rnacentral:rRNA from 1 species
GACGAACGCUGGCGGCGUGCUUAACACAUGCAAGUCGAACGAAGAGCGCUUGCAGCUUUCUUCUGUCCAUCUUAGUGGCGAACGGGUGACUCACGCGUAAUCAACCCGCCCUUCAGAGGUGGACAACAGUUGGAAACGACUGCUAAUGCCGCAUACUCCCUAUUCAUGGUAUCGGGUGUAGAUGUACGGUGGCCUCUGCUUGUAUCCCAUCACUUCAGGUGGUUGUUGCGGCGGUUUAGUUAGUUGGAGGGGUCACGGAGCACCACGGCGAUGAUGAGUAGCAGGUCGGAGAGGAUGAGCAGCCACAUUGAGACGGAGACACGGCCCAGAGUGCUACGGGAGGCAGCAGUGGGGAAUCGGCCGCAAUGGACGAGAGUCUGACGGAGCAACGCCGCGUGAGUGAUGACGGCCGUCGGGUUGGAGAGCUCUGUUAAUCGGGACGAAAGGCCUUCUGGCGAAGAGGGAGAAGGAUUGACGGUACCGGAAUAGAAAGCCACGGCUAACUACGUG